rnacentral:rRNA from 1 species
ACGAACGCUGGCGGCAUGCUAAUACUGCAAGUCAAACGAGAUCUUCGGAUCUAGUGGCGCACGUGGUGCGUAACGCGUGGGAAUCUUGCCCUUGGGUUCGGAAUAACUUCUGGAAACGGAAGCUAAUACCGGAUGAUGACGUAAGUCCAAAGAUUUAUCGCCCAAGGGAUGAGCCCGCGUAGGAUUAGGUAGUUGGUGAGGUAAAGGCUCACCAAGCCGACGAUCCUUAGCCUGGUUUGAGAGGAUGAUCAGCCACACUGGGACUGAGACACGGCCCACACUCCUACGGGAGGCAGCAGUAGGGAAUAUUGGACAAUGGGCGAAAGCCUGAUCCAGCAAAUGCCGCGUGAGUGAUGAAGGCCUUAGGGUUGUAAAGCUCUUUUACCCGGGAUGAUAAUGACAGUACCGGGAGAAUAAGCUCCGGCUAACUCCGUGCCAGCAGCCGCGGUAAUACGGAGGGAGUUAGCGUUGUUCGGAAUUACUGGGCGUAAAGCGCACGUAGGCGGCUAUUCAAGUCAGAGGUGAAAGCCCGGGGCUCAAACCCGGAACUGCUUUGAAACUAGAUAGCUUGAAAUCCAGGAGAGGUGAGUGGACAUUUCCGAGCUGUAGAGCGUGAAAAUUCGUAGAUAUUCGGAAAGAACACACCAGUGGCGAAAGGCGGCAUCACAUGGACCUGGUUAAUUGACGCUUAAGUGCCGAAAAGCGUUGGGGGAAGCCAACACAGGACUAGAUACCCUGGUAGUACACGCCCGUAAACGAUGAUAACUAGCUUUCCAGGGCA